rnacentral:rRNA from 1 species
AACCUGCGGAGUCUAAGUAUAAGCAAUUAUACAGCGAAACUGCGAAUGGCUCAUUAUAUAAGUUAUCGUUUAUUUGAUAGUGCCUGUCCUACUUGGAUAACCGUGGUAAUUCUAGAGCUAAUACAUGCUAAAAAUCCCGACUUCGGAAGGGAUGUAUUUAUUAGAUUAAAAGCCAAUGCCCUUCGGGGCUCCCUGGUGAUUCAUAAUAACUUCACGGAUCGCACGGCCUUGCGCCGGCGAUGGUUCAUUCAAAUUUCUUCCCUAUCAACUUUCGAUGUUUGGGUAUUGGCCAAACAUGGUGGCAACGGGUAACGGAGGGUUAGGGCUCGACCCCGGAGAAGGAGCCUGAGAA